CAACUACUCCCUCUAUCCCAAAUUUCUUGUCUUAGAUUUGUCUAGAUAUGGAUGUAUCUAAUACUAAAAUGUGACUUGAUACAUCCGUAUCUAGACAAAUCUAAGACAAGAAUUUUGGGACGGAGGGAGUAAUUU
rnacentral:pre_miRNA from 1 species